CUACGAAGGGAGCUAGCGUUGUUCGGAAUUGCUGGGCGUAAAGCGCACGUAGGCGGAUUGAUUAGUUAGGGGUGAAAUCCCAGGGCUUAACCCUGGAACUGCCUCUAAUACUGUCAGUCUAGAGAUCGAGAGAGGUGAGUGGAAUUCCGAGUGUAGAGGUGAAAUUCGUAGAUAUUCGGAGGAACACCAGUGGCGAAGGCGGCUCACUGGCUCGAUACUGACGCUGAGGUGCGAAAGCGUGGGGAGCAAACAGGAUUAGAUACCCUUGUAGUCC
rnacentral:rRNA from 1 species